rnacentral:rRNA from 1 species
UGUCUUUUUGAGAAUAAUAUAAAGUCUAAUCUGCCCACUGAUUAAAUAUUAAAGGGCUGCAGUAUAUUGACUGUACAAAGGUAGCAUAAUCAUUAGUCAUUUAAUUGAUGACUUGUAUGAAAGAUUGGAUGAAAUAUAAACUGUCUCUUAUUUAAUUAUAAAAUUUAAUUUUUUUAUUAAAAAGUUAAAAUAUUUUAAAAAGACGAGAAGACCCUAUAGAGUUUUAUAAAUUAUUAAAUUGAGAUUAUAUGUAAAAUAAAUUUAAAAUUAAAUUAUUUAUUUUGUUGGGGUGAUAAAAAAAUAUAUUUAACUUUUUUUAAUUAUAAAACAUUUAUAAGUGGUUAAAUGAUCCAAUAAUAUUGAUUAUAAGAAAAAAUUACCUUAGGGAUAACAGCGUAAUUUUUUUUUUUAGUUCAAAUAAAAAAAAAAGUUUGCGACCUCGAUGUUGGAUUAAGAUAAAAUUUAAAUGUAGAAG